rnacentral:rRNA from 1 species
AUUGAACGCUGGCGGCAGGCCUAACACAUGCAAGUCGAGCGAGCGGCGGACGGGUGAGUAAUGUCUGGGAAUCUGCCUGGUGGAGGGGGAUAACUACUGGAAACGGUAGCUAAUACCGCAUACUAUCGGAUGUGCCCAGAUGGGAUUAGCUAGUAGGUGGGGUAAAGGCUCACCUAGGCGACGAUCCCUAGCUGGUCUGAGAGGAUGACCAGCCACACUGGAACUGAGACACGGUCCAGACUCCUACGGGAGGCAGCAGUGGGGAAUAUUGGACAAUGGGCGCAAGCCUGAUGCAGCCAUGCCGCGUGUAUGAAGAAGGCCUUCGGGUUGUAAAGUACUUUAAGCGGGGAGGCGUUACCAGCAGAAGAAGCACCGGCUAACUCCGUGCCAGCAGCCGCGGUAAUAC